AACAAUCAGGGCUCGCAGUGCUUCUUCUAUGUGCUCCUCUCGCCUUGAUGCUCUUCUUUACUCUUGAACAUACAGGACAUUUAUUAAUUCUGAAAAGAGAUCGCCGAGAGGUCCCUUAAGUCAUCAAGUGAGAAAAUCUUAGAUUCAUAGCUCUCAGAAAGUGUUGUUAUCACCUUCUCAAUGACCCUGCCAUUUGCGAACUCUUCCCCAAGUAACCUGAUGUUAUUAACAACCGCCAUAAUCCCUUAUGCACACUACUUCACCGUUUCAACCUCCUUCAUCUUUAAAUUCUUAAAAUCUCUUUUGAUAUUAAUGAAUUGUUGCUGUCUGGUCUUAUUCGAACCUUGAAACCCUUCCUUUAGCUUAUCCUAAGUUUUUUUUGGAGUCUCGUAGUUUUUGCCAUUGAAAAUGAUUGAUGAAGGUGGUUAAAAAUUCGCAGAAGCCAUGUAUAACUUAGAAAAAAAAACAACAACCCUUAAGGAGAUAGCUCUGAUACUAAUUAUUGGAAUUUUGAUAUUCAAGAAGAAAAAAUUGCUCAG
rnacentral:lncRNA from 1 species